GGAAUCGACGGAACCCUUCGGGGGGAAGUCGACGGAAUGAGCGGCGGACGGGUGAGUAACACGUAAAGAACCUGCCCUCAGGUCUGGGAUAACCACGAGAAAUCGGGGCUAAUACCGGAUGGGUCAUCGGACCGCAUGGUCCGAGGAUGAAAGGCGCUCCGGCGUCGCCUGGGGAUGGCUUUGCGGUGCAUUAGCUAGUUGGUGGGGUAAUGGCCCACCAAGGCGACGAUGCAUAGCCGACCUGAGAGGGUGAUCGGCCACACUGGGACUGAGACACGGCCCAGACUCCUACGGGAGGCAGCAGUAGGGAAUCUUCCACAAUGGACGAAAGUCUGAUGGAGCAACGCCGCGUGAACGAUGAAGGCCUUCGGGUCGUAAAGUUCUGUUGUAAGGGAAGAACAAGUGCCGCAGGCAAUGGCGGCACCUUGACGGUACCUUGCG
rnacentral:rRNA from 1 species